UCUUCCUACCAUUUUUAGUUUAACUAAGGUUAUAUCACGGAAAAAAUAAAAAAUUUAAAACAAAAAUUGGUAUAGAUAAACUUUAAAAACUGUUUUGAAAAAUUGGUAUAAAUAAAGUUUGAAAUAAAAACUGUUUUGGAAAAAUAGUUUUGGCCAUUUUCUGACCUCUUUGAGGCACUGCGAUGGCAAGAAAGAGUCUCUCUAUAAGAAAUUUAUAUACAGGUUUUUUUAAGCAGUUGUUGAAACUUAUUGUUGAUUUUCUUUAUUACUAAAAACGGUGGAAACAUCAAUAAUGACGUAGAUAAAAAAAUGCCAAUACCCAAGCAUUUCGUUUUAUUGAGACAAGUUUUACAACUAAACGAGAUAAAGUGGUACAAGAGAAACUUCAUUUAAAAGUUAUUUACAUAAGCUUUUUGGGUGAUAUUUGAUUAUGAACAAAAUUGUAGUUGUAAUGGAUUUUUUAUACUCUUUAUAUGAACUUAUCAGGUUUAAAUAGA